rnacentral:rRNA from 1 species
CCUACGGGGGGCUGCAGUGGGGAAUAUUGGACAAUGGGGGGAACCCUGAUCCAGCCAUGCCGCGUGUGUGAAGAAGGCCCUCGGGUUGUAAAGCACUUUCAGUGAGGAAGAACGCCUGGUGGUUAAUACCCAUCAGGAAAGACAUCACUCACAGAAGAAGCACCGGCUAACUCCGUGCCAGCAGCCGCGGUAAUACGGAGGGUGCGAGCGUUAAUCGGAAUUACUGGGCGUAAAGCGCGCGUAGGUGGCUUGAUAAGGCGGUUGUGAAAGCCCCGGGCUCAACCUGGGAACGGCAUCCGGAACUGUCAAGCUAGAGUGCAGGAGAGGAAGGUAGAAUUCCCGGUGUAGCGGUGAAAUGCGUAGAGAUCGGGAGGAAUACCAGUGGCGAAGGCGGCCUUCUGGACUGACACUGACACUGAGGUGCGAAAGCGUGGGUAGCAAACAGGAUUAGAUACCCCUGUAGUC